rnacentral:rRNA from 1 species
GACGUAGGGCGCGAGCGUUGUCCGGAUUUAUUGGGCGUAAAGAGCUCGUAGGCGGCUUGUCGCGUCGUCUGUGAAAUCCCGCGGCUCAACCGCGGGUCUGCAGUCGAUACGGGCAGGCUAGAGUUCGGUAGGGGAGACUGGAAUUCCUGGUGUAGCGGUGAAAUGCGCAGAUAUCAGGAGGAACACCGGUGGCGAAGGCGGUUCUCUGGGCCUUACCUGACGCUGAGGAGCGAAAGCGUGGGGAGCGAACAGG